AGCUGCUGGGCUGCGACUGCAGAGGAGUGUUGGUGUCAUCGACAGAUGGAGAAAGAGAGGGACUGUCACACACUCGUUCCUGAGGAGACGGAGGGAGGUUUUUAUUCCGUCCCCCCCCAUGGACACAUGUGGAGAUGCUCCAUUACUUCAGCCUCAUUCUUUACCCCCUAACCCUCUGACCUCUACCCCCCUCACCACCACCUAAAAGCUGACCCCACCCCUUCAGACGGUCACAUUAAAGCCCAUCCUCGAUCGGCCCGACACACGGACUCGCACAUGCACGUCUGCUUUCAUUGCAAUGAAACAAUAACGCUGAUUGCUGUUGUCGUGGAGACUGAAGUGAUGGAAUAAUCAAUGUGAGUGUUUGGAGCUUCCUGCUGUCCGGUGUGAGUGUGCAGAAACAUGACUUCUGCAGCAAGAAAAACAGCCGCUAUCUCUUUAGAUAUGUGUGUGUGUCUGUGUGCAUGUGUGUGUUGAUGAAUUGAGUCAUUUAGUAGAGUGUGCGCUGAUUAAUCUAGGCGGAGUGUUAAUACAGGAGAUGGCGACAGAUUAAAUGGCGCACAUUAACAAAUAUUGCCGUCCUUUCCUGAGCGCCAUGGAGACGUGUGUGUUUGUGUGUCCUCUCUUGUGUCUUUCCAAACACUCGGUGUGUUCUUACUGUUGGCCAGUAGCUGCUGCUGCUGCAGUUGUUGCUGAUUGACAGCGCCGAGGCCAGGACCCCUCCCCGCGCCUCCUGCCGCGCUCCCGCCUCCUCCGGCUCCUCCUCCCGCCGCCGGCGCGGCUCCUCCGCCUCCUCCUCCGGGGCCUCCGCCGUGGGCUCCAGCAGGGGGGCUGGUCAGACGCUCCUUAUCCCAGGAACACUCGCUCCCUCCUGGGUGGAGGUGCAGACAUUUAUCAGUCACUGUUGACUUUUUGUGUCGCUAAAACGUUUCAGUUAAACGAGAAACGAACGACUUCCUUUAAACUGUUACUGUAUCCCCAUCAUAUCAAAUAAAUAAAGAGCUUGCUGAUUUUGUAAAACAGGUUUGCAUGGGGAAAAUUCACUUUUUGAUUAUUUUCAGCCAAAAACAAAAAACAGAGAUGUAGGUGGAGGCAUCAUGAUGAUAUGGGCUCAUUCCUCACAAUCUUUGGACUUUAGAGUCAAAAAAGUAAGACACAAUCACAUUUAUUUCCUCAAGUAAAAUACAUUAUUUUAAAAUAAAAAAAUUAAUUAAAUGCAAAAAAUAAAAA